CGUUGACACUCCUACGGGAGGCAGCAGUGGGGAAUAUUGCACAAUGGGCGCAAGCCUGAUGCAGCCAUGCCGCGUGUAUGAAGAAGGCCUUCGGGUUGUAAAGUACUUUCAGCAGUGAGGAAGGCAGGUACGUUAAUAGCGUGCUUGUUUGACGUUAGCUGCAGAAGAAGCACCGGCUAACUCCGUGCCAGCAGCCGCGGUAAUACGGAGGGUGCGAGCGUUAAUCGGAAUUACUGGGCGUAAAGCGCAUGCAGGUGGUUCGUUAAGUCAGAUGUGAAAGCCCGGGGCUCAACCUCGGAAUUGCAUUUGAAACUGGCGGACUAGAGUACUGUAGAGGGGGUAGAAUUUCAGGUGUAGCGGUGAAAUGCGUAGAGAUCUGAAGGAAUACCGGUGGCGAAGGCGGCCCCCUGGACAGAUACUGACACUCAGAUGCGAAAGCGUGGGGAGCAAACAGGAUUAGAUACCCUGGUAG
rnacentral:rRNA from 1 species